rnacentral:rRNA from 1 species
UACGUAGGGUGCAAGCGUUAAUCGGAAUUACUGGGCGUAAAGCGUGCGCAGGCGGUUAUGCAAGACAGAUGUGAAAUCCCCGGGCUCAACCUGGGAACUGCAUUUGUGACUGCAUAGCUAGAGUACGGUAGAGGGGGAUGGAAUUCCGCGUGUAGCAGUGAAAUGCGUAGAUAUGCGGAGGAACACCGAUGGCGAAGGCAAUCCCCUGGACCUGUACUGACGCUCAUGCACGAAAGGCGUGGGGAGUAAACAGG